CCUACGGGAGGCAGCAGUGGGGGAUAUUGCACAAUGGGGGAAACCCUGAUGCAGCGACGCCGCGUGGGUGAAGAAGCGCCUCGGCGCGUAAAGCCCUGUCAGCAGGGAAGAAAAUGACGGUACCUGAAGAAGAAGCCCCGGCUAACGACGUGCCAGCAGCCGCGGUAAUACGUAGGGGGCAAGCGUUAUCCGGAUUUACUGGGUGUAAAGGGGGCGCAGACGGCGAGGCAAGCCAGGAGUGAAAGCCCGGGGCCCAACCCCGGGACUGCUCUUGGAACUGCGUGGCUAGAGUGCAGGAGGGGCAGGCGGAAUUCCUGGUGUAGCGGUGAAAUGCGUAGAUAUCAGGAGGAACACCGGUGGCGAAGGCGGCCUGCUGGACUGCAACUGACGUUGAGGCGCGAAAGCGUGGGGAGCAAACAGGAUUAGAUACCCGAGUAGUC
rnacentral:rRNA from 1 species